rnacentral:rRNA from 1 species
AUUGAACGCUGGCGGCAUGCCUAACACAUGCAAGUCGAACGGAAACACGAAGCGCUUUGCCGCCUCGCUUUCGAGUGGCGGACGGGUGUGUAAUGUCUGGGAAGCUCCCUUAUGGAGGGGGAUACCUACUGGAACCGGUACUUAAUACCGCUUACUGUCUCAACCCCAAAGAGGAGGACUUUCAGGCCUCUUUCCAUCGGCUGUGACCAGGUGGGAUUAGCUUGUUGGUGGGGUAACGGCUCACCAAGGCCACGAUCCGUAGCCGGUCUGAGAGGGUGACCAGCCAAACUGGGACUGAGACACGGUCCAGACUCCUACGGGAGGCAGCAGUGGGGAAUCUUGCACAAUGGGCGAAAGCUUGAUGGAGCCAUGCCGCGUGAAUGAAGAAGGUCUUCGGGUUGUAAAGUACUUUCAGCGGGGAGGAAGGAAGUAGUAAUAAUCCAUUCGCGCAUUGACGUUACCCGCAGAAGAAGCACCGGCUAACUCCGUG